rnacentral:rRNA from 1 species
UAAGGAAUAUUGGGCAAUGGGCGCAAGCCUGACCCAGCCAUCCCGCGUGCAGGAUGACGGCCCUAUGGGUUGUAAACUGCUUUUGUUUGAGAAGAACUAAGUACAUUAAUGUGCUUUUGACGGUAUCUUACGAAUAAGCACCGGCUAACUCCGUGCCAGCAGCCGCGGUAAUACGGAGGGUGCAAGCGUUAUCCGGAAUCACUGGGUUUAAAGGGUGCGUAGGCGGCAUAAUAAGUCAGAGGUGAAAGCUUGCGGCUCAACCGUAAAAUUGCCUUUGAUACUGUUAUGCUUGAAUCAGGUUGAGGUAGGCAGAAUGUGGCAUGUAGCGGUGAAAUGCAUAGAUAUGCCAUAGAAUACCAAUUGCGAAGGCAGCCUGCUGGACCUGUAUUGACGCUGAGGCACGAAAGCGUGGGGAUCAAACAGG